GGGCCCGCACAAGCAGCGGAGCAUGUGGUUUAAUUCGAAGCAACGCGAAGAACCUUACCAGAACUUGACAUCUCCUGCAUUACCCGUAAAUGGGGAAGUCCUUCGGGACAGGAAGACAGGUGGUGCAUGGUUGUCGUCAGCUCGUGUCGUGAGAUGUUGGGUUAAGUCCCGCAACGAGCGCAACCCUUAUUGUUAGUUGCUAACAUUUAGUUGAGCACUCUAAUGAGACUGCCGGGGACAACUCGGAGGAAGGUGGGGAUGACGUCAAAUCAUCAUGCCCCUUAUGUUCUGGGCUACACACGUGCUACAAUGGGCGCAACAACGGGAAGCAAGCUAGAGAUAGCAAGCAAAUCCCUAAAAAUCGCUCUCAGUUCAGACUGUAGGCUGAAACUCGCCUACACGAAGGCGGAGUUGCUAGUAAUCGCGGAUCAGCAUGCCGCGGUGAAUACGUUCCCGGGCCUU
rnacentral:rRNA from 1 species